rnacentral:rRNA from 1 species
GACGAACGCUGGCGGCGUGCUUAACACAUGCAAGUCGAACGGAAAGGCCCUGCUUGCAGGGUACUCGAGUGGCGAACGGGUGAGUAACACGUGGGCGAUCUGCCCUGCACUUCGGGAUAAGCUUGGGAAACUGGGUCUAAUACCGGAUAGGAGCCAUCUUUAGUGUGGUGGUUGGAAAGUUUUUUCGGUGUAGGAUGAGCUCGCGGCCUAUCAGCUUGUUGGUGGGGUAAUGGCCUACCAAGGCGGCGACGGGUAGCCGGCCUGAGAGGGUGUACGGCCACAUUGGGACUGAGAUACGGCCCAGACUCCUACGGGAGGCAGCAGUGGGGAAUAUUGCACAAUGGGCGCAAGCCUGAUGCAGCGACGCCGCGUGGGGGAUGAAGGCCUUCGGGUUGUAAACUCCUUUCGCUAGGGACGAAGCUUUUUUGUGACGGUACCUAGAUAAGAAGCACCGGCUAACUACGUG